AACGAACGCUGGCGGCAUGCCUAACACAUGCAAGUCGAACGAAGGCUUCGGCCUUAGUGGCGCACGGGUGAGUAACACGUGGGAACCUGCCUUUCGGUUCGGAAUAACGUCUGGAAACGGACGCUAACACCGGAUACGCCCUGAUGGGGGAAAGGUUACGCCGAGAGAGGGGCCCGCGUCCGAUGAGGUAGUUGGUGAGGUAACGGCGCAACAAGCCGACGAUCGGUAGCUGGUCUGAGAGGAUGAUCAGCCACACUGGGGCUGAGACACGGCGCAGACGCCAACGGUAGGCAGCAGUGGGGAAGAAUGGACAAUGGGGGCAACCCUGAUUCAGCAAUGCCGCGUGGGUGAUGAAGGCCGUCAGGUUGUAAAGCUCUUGCGCACGCGACGAUGAUGACGGUACCCGUAGAAUAAGCCCCGGCUAACUUCGUGCCAGCAGCCGCCGCAG
rnacentral:rRNA from 1 species